rnacentral:rRNA from 1 species
ACAACUUUCAGCAACGGAUCUCUUGGCUCUCGCAUCGAUGAAGACGCAGCGAAUGCGAUAAGUAAUGUGAAUGCAGAUUUUCAGUGAAUCAUCGAAUCUUUGAACGCCCCGCUCCGUAUUCCGAGGAGCAGCCGUUGAGUGUCAU